ensembl:lncRNA
UGCUUCCAGUCUGUCUGGUCUCUCCCAUGCUGAUGUGAAUGGAUUUUGAUGAGCACUGGGACAACGUCCUAGGUGACCUGCACCAAGAUGGGGAACCAAUGGCCUCCGCUCCCAGAUUCUCAGCCCAGCCUAUGAUGACUUCGGCUACUUCCAUCUCCUCAGUGAGUGGGUCUGGGCUCUGCUCAGGAGCAGGGAGGAGAAAGGAGAACCACUUCUCUUCCUGGCUACCUCGGCGGCCACUGUGUCUGCCCACGGCCUCUCUGGGCCCAGCUGAGGGACUUCCCUCCUCCCUGCGCGUCCAUCGGCUCCGGGGUCAGCAGCAGGUUGUGUUCAGGUUUGUCUUUGCUCCACGUGGGUCCCCGCAGUGCCCCCCCCACCCCGCCCCGGGAAGCAGCAGCACAGCGAGUUCUGUUUUCGGUGGCACCUGUUACAGCCGCGCUUCCCACCAGGACGCCCGCGUGUGCGCGGCUCUCUGCCUCACCCCCCUCCCCCAGGUCAGGCCCAGGGCCUCGGCUCCUGCUGCCAGGAUCUACCGGGUCCUCCCGAGCCCUGGCCGUCCUCCCCUGGGUGCACGGGAGGAGUGCAUCACGAGGUUGUCCACCUUUCUCUCGCACGUCUUGCACCAGAGUUCACUGAUGCCACCUGGUGUGACGGUUCUCGUGGUAGAAGCUGUGCGGUCAGGGCCUACUCACUUGGAGGGGACGGACAUCUCAGCGCACCCUGGCCUGAAUGGGAAGGAAGCGUCUACACCUCAGUGUGGCAGCUGUAGGCACGCUGGCUGCAGGCAAGGCUCGACCAGAUCAGAAUUCUCUCUUCCCUUCCCACCGGGCUCUUAUGUAUUGCGACAUCCACAGAUCUUCUAGAAAUUGUGACACUUGCGUGUUCGCCUCCAGGAGCUCUGCUGGCUCAGAGGUACUUCACCUUUCUGGUAGUGCUAACAAAAUUACCAACAUCUAGUCUCCUUGUCUCCAUGGUCCUGGUCGCACUCACUGAUGCCUUUGCAAUUGUGGCCAGCAGGAUGUGGCAGGCUGGUUGCCUGUGCCUGAGACACGGGCCCUGGGAGCCAAGGCGCUGUUUGAACAAAGUCAAACACAUGUGUAUGAACAAGAAAGACUGUACAUGCACCUGCUACACGUAGGUAGAUCUGAUGUAGGUAAAACUAAAUUUGAUGUAGAGGUGAUUGUAGAUUCAUGUGCUGGUGUGGGGAGGUACCCAGGGGUCACACACUCCCUUCCCCCUCGCUCCCCAACACUGACACCUGGCAAAACCAUGGCCUGAUAUCACAGCCGGAGAACCAACGCUGAGGUCUUGCCAGGAGGAAAAAGUGGCCGCCCUGGCCAAACCGUCCAGCAGAUGGGCCUCCACCGUGCACCACCACGUGCCAGAUGUCUCUGUGUGUGCCUUGGCCUGUUCGCCAGAAGCCAGCACAGAGUGGCUAAGCCCCAGCACAGGGGCCCCAGGCAGCAGGGUGUGAGUGGGUGGGUGGGGGAGGUUCUCAGAGCCUUGCUGGCUAUGCUUUGGCUUUGCAAGGACAGUGUGUGCACGCAGGCUGCCUAACUAAAGAUUAAUUUCCAAGGAUGUUGCCUUUUAAUGUGUUGGUGAAUCAUUGUGUAAUUAACAUUAAUUUUUAAAAUGGAAAUAAAAUGAAAUAGUCUCCAUUUGUCUGCA